ACAAACCGAUCACCAAUUCAUUUCCAAGAUUACGAGACCUUCGAACAACUAUAUAAACCGAACCAUCCAUCAUCAUUUGACACCCUUUCACUCACUCACAAACACCCUCUUAUAUCUUGUUAACACCUACUCGUCGGAGUUCGAGGAGGUCACCGGAGAAGAAAGCCUUCGCUGGAGUAACCGAGCAUCGACGGAAACGACCUUUCGCACACCCUCCUCACUGUUACGAGACGUCGUCGCAAGUCGAGAAGCAGCCGGGAUCCUACCGGAGACACCGAGCUCGCCGGGAAACAUCGAAGUUCAAGUCCUUUGUUGUUGUUCGUGUUAUGUUGUUUUGAGCAAUUUGUUCGCCUCAUCUCGAUGUUUCCGCCAUCGGUUGGGGUAAUUAAGGUGUUUGCUUGCUAGGAAAGCGAGGCUAGAAUAAGUUUCUAGAAGCCCCCAACAAAUAGUUGUCCGCCAAGAACAAGCGUCUGGGGCAUAGAGUUGUCUGUAGAUCUUGUCCUCUGGUAAUACAGCCAGAAAGUCAACAGAAUAGGGGUCUAGAAGCAGAUAAACAAUUGCUGUAUUUAUAUUUGAAUCUGAGUUGUCGGAACAGAAUUACUUGUUUGGAUGUUAUCUGUAAUAAUAUAUUUGUUUAUUCGGGAUAUGGUAUGGGACGUAUCUUUAACUGGAUUAUAUGAAUAGUUGUUAUUGAAACUU
rnacentral:lncRNA from 1 species